GGGGUCCUAUGGGGUCCGAUGGGGUCCUAUGGGGUCCCUUAUGGGGUCUUAUGGGGUUUCUAUGGGGUGUUAUGCGGUCCUAUGGGGUUUUGUGGGGUCUUAUGGGGUGUUAUGGGGUCCUAUGGGGUCCUAUGGGGUGUUACGGGGUCCUAUUGGGUCCUAUGGGGUCCUAUGGGUCCCUAUGUGGUUCUAUGGGGCUCUAUGGGUCUCUAUGGGGUCUUAUGGGGUCUUAUGGGGUCUUAUGGGGUCUCUAUGGGGUUUCUACGGGGUGUUAUGGGGUCCUAUGGGGUGUUAUGGGGUCCUAUGGGCCUCUAUGAGGUCCUAUGGGGUCCUAUGGGAUCCUAGGGGUCUCAAUGGGUCUCUAUGGGCUUUUAUGGGAUCUUAUGGGUUCUUAUGGGUCUCUAUGGGGUGUUAUGGGGUCCUAUGGGGUGUUAUGGGGUCCUAUAGGUCUCUAUCGGGUCCUAUGGGGUCCUAUGGGGUCUUAUGGGGUCUUAUGGGGUCCUAUGGGGUCCUAUGGGGUCUUAUGGGGUCUUAUGGGGUCUUAUGGGGGCUUAUGGGGUCUUAUGGGGUCUCUAUGGGGUCUCUAUGGGGUGUUAUGGGGUCCUUUGGGGUCUUAUGGGGUCUCAAUGGGGUGUUAUGGGGUCUCUAUGGGUCUCUAUGGGGUUGUAGGGGGUCUUAGGGGUCCCUAUGGGGUCCCUAUGGGGUCUUUAUGGGAUCUCUGUGGGUCUUUAUGGGUCUCUAUGGGGUCUUGUUGUGUCCUAUGGGUCCCUAUGGGUCUGUAUGGGGUUUUAUGGGGUCUCUAUGGGUCUCUAUGGGGUCCUUUGGGGUCCUAUGGGUCUCUAUGGGUUUCUAUGGGUUCCUAUGGGGUCUCAAUGGGUCUCUAUGGGUCUCUAUGGGGUCUUGUUGUGUGCUAUGGGUCCCUAUUGGUCUCAAUGCGGUGUUAUGGGGUCUCUAUGGGUCUCUAUGGGGUCGUAGGGGUCUUGGGGUCUCUAUGGGGUCUCUAUGGGUCUCUGUGGGUCCCUAUGGGUCUCUGUGGGUCCUUAUGGGGUUGUAUGAGUCUCUAUGGGUCUCCAUGGGUCUCUAUGGAUCUCUAUGGGGUCUUGUGGGUCUCUAUGGGGUGUUAUGGGGUCUCUAUGGGUUGCUAUGGGGUUUUAUGGGGUCUCUAUUGGGUCUCUAUGGAUCUGUAUGGGUCCCUAUAGGGUCCCUAUGGGGUCCCUAUGGGGUCUUUAUGGGAUCUCUAUGGGUCUCUAUGGGGUCUUGUUGUGUCCUAUGGGUCCCUAUUGGUCUCUAUGGGNNNNNNNNNNNNNNNNNNNNNNNNNGGGGUCUCUAUGGGUCUCUAUGGAGUGUUAUGGGGUUCCUAUGGGGUCUCUAUGGGGUCCUGUGGGUUUCUAUGGGGUUUUAUGGGGUCUCUAUGGGGUCUCUAUGGGUCUCUAUGGGUCUCUAUGGGGUUUUAUGGGGUCUCUAUGGGUCUCUAUGCGUCUCUAUGGGUUCUUAUAGGGUCUCUAUGGGUCUCUAUGGGGUCCUAUGGUGUCUUAUGGGGUCCUUAUGGGGUCUCUAUGGGGUCCUAUGGGGUCCUAUGGGGUGUUAUGGGGUUUCUAUGGGGUCCUAUGGGGCUUUAUGGGAUCUCUAUGGGUCCCUAUGGGUCCCUAUGGGUCUCUAUGGGUCUCUGUGUCUCCAUGGGUCCCUAUGGGUCUCUAUGGGUCCCUAUGGACUAAUUAAUCCCGGCUCUAAUUAG
rnacentral:lncRNA from 1 species